UGGUGCCAUGCACACCUUCUUGUAAGAGAGCUCUUCCAGGAUGGUGUCCUAUGAAACCUGUCCUUUCAGAUUAAUUUCCCAUCAUCCAAACUCAGUAACUCGGAUUCCUUUUCUUUCAUUCCUCCUAACUCUCCAUUUUCAAUGGUGUCUGACUGCUGAUAGAGAAGAAGUGACUGGAAUAAUUCAUGCUAAGGUGUGAAUGGUCCAUUGCUGACUCAGCUUGUGAUCCCAGCUUUGCAUUCUGAAGGAGUAGCUACUGAACCCAAACAGAAUCUAAUGGUCAGAGUUAAGGACUUAUUAUUCAGUCAAGUCUGAAUAGUAUACUAUGUCCAAAUAGUAAGCAUAUUUUUCUGCCCUGGCUCCCUUUCUACUGAAUGGAGAUGGUAUUAAUAGGAUACUUUAAAGCUAUGAUUUCCAAACUUCUGAUGGUGCAUAUCUAUCAGAUAUAAGAAAAUGAGCACCUACCCAAAUCAUUUAUUGAAUCCACAUACAUAUGUACAAUCACUGCGCCGAUGUGCUGUUUACUGCAAACAUAUAACUUUAAAAGGGUGCGAUAAAAUUAAAUAAUACGUUUACACUACUUUAUUUUAGCUGUAGAAAAUGUAUAUUCUUCUGCUCUCAUUCCAACUUGUGUUUGGAGUACAAGUAGUAAGGAGGAAUAUGCUUCACACACGUAAAUUACACACCAAAUGCUGAAAGAAAACAGCCAGUGAGCACCUCCUCUCCGCAUGCUUCACCGUGGGCACUCAGGUCACUUUUCAUGGUUGUCUGUGCCUGUCAGACGUACACAGGAAAGGAGGGGCAGGAAGAUGGGUGAGGGGAUCCGUCUGUACAGUGUUAAUAACGUCUGAUUUUCUUCUUUGAUCAAAAGAGAUAAAAAAGCUGUAAUGGUUUCUUUCUGUAACCCAGUUAAUCAUUAUCGUGGGGGUGCAGUCACUGCUCCGUGUGCCUUCGUUAACACAAGAGCAGGCUCGGAUCCAAGUUUUGUGGAACUUGGGACUGUUACAACUUCUGGGGAAAGGAAACUCUUUAAGAAAAAGAGCACACACACAAAUCUUACUUUUGCAACUUCUUACAAACUCUGUGAUCCUGGCAACACGGUCCUGGGUCCUCCCAGAGUGGCUCUCGGGGUGAUGGGAGAGGAUUCUGGGGGCGGGGGGCCCAGCACCCCCAGCAAGGAGGACGGCCUGCCUCCAGAUCGUUCUCUUCUUACGGGCCUGUCCUCGACGUCUCUCCCGUUUCUCUCUGCGGCUCUCACACGCCCCUCUGCUCGCCUGAACCCGUCCGCCCGGACGCCACGCGGGGCCGCCCAGGAGAAAGCAGCGGCAGAAUUCUUUGAAACAAAGACGUAACCACGGACCUGCGGCUCCGAAGGCGGGCGAGGUACACGCCACGUUUACCCAGCAGGCCUCGGGCGGCCCCAGGACUGGCUGGCUGGCUGCGGCCACGUGACUGGGCCGCUCGUGAUCACGUCACGCGGCCGCGCACAAGCCCCGAUCUGCGGCUGCGCGGGGAGGGGCCCCAGAGGCGGGAAGGCCGGGGGGCUGCGGGCCGGUUGCGGGCCGGGCUGGCCUGGUGGCGGGAAGAGCUUGCCGCCUGCGUGGUUUGGGGACCGAUGCCCAUCCGGCCCGCGCGGCCUCGUCGUGCAGCCCGGGCGGAGAAGGCCUGCGCCUGCCUGCCUUCUACCUGACAGGAGCGGAUUUGGGGGCGCAGGGAGCCAGGCGUGCUGGAAAGAACCUAGAAGAAACCGGAGGAACCUUCUAGAACGUGUGUCUGAAUGAGCUCUGGGAACACUGACCAUACGGAAAUCAGGUUAGACGAUGGUCAACGAAGCUGAAUAGCCAACGAUGUCCAUAAAUAAACAGAGCCUCACGCUCCCGCCAUUUUAUACUUCGUUACUUCAGAUGUCCCAAGGCCUGCGGUCUUACCCUUGGCGCAGCCGGUUUAGAGGAAGAGAGAGCCAAAGGGAAAGAAAGGGAACCGUGUCGUAGGUUUGGCUCAGCACUCUCUGUUUUACCAAAUCCUUAAAUGCUGUGGGCUGAAAAACCGAGACGGAGAGAAUUUAUACGUGACCUAAGUUAGAACAUAAGUCAAGUCAGUAUAUAUCAAGGACAGAAUGUGGCCUCAGAUCUCUCUGAACACAAAGAAGGCUCUUACCAAGAGUAUCUUCAGCAUGUUGAGACUGCGGGCUGCUGUCAGGAUGCCUGACUUCUUCUCUGCACCUCCGUCCCUUCUCAGAUGUCCUUCUGAUGAGCUUCCCAUGAAACUGGAAUGUUCUACUUCAUCUCAAGAACUAAGAGUGAGGAAGGUUCACAGACAAGAUUGUGUUAAAUUCUUCUUGUCCCUUUUUCCCAGUGUUACACGUGAACGGGUCCAGUGCGGAAGGAGGAAAGCCCAGCCAGGCCACAGGAUUUAAGGAUUUUCAGCCUGUGGAUUCAGGAAGUAGAAGUCUUAAUUUUUAGAGCCGCUCUGUCAGGCACUUUACAGCUUCCUCUUCUAAGUGCUAAGUGCCAUAAAUCUCUGGACGGCCGGUCUCCAAACUCACAUGUAAACGGUCCUGCACACGAGCAGCAACGGCCACCGACACAAGUGAGUGACCCAUAAAUAAGGCUCACGUGUGGUCCUCGGCUGUCCCACUCCACUGUCCAUCCACAGGCGCGGCCCUGGGCAUCUGGGGCAGAUGGCUGCACCUGCACACUUUCUGGGCACGGCGUCUGGCAGAAAGGGAGGCCCGAUGCGACAGCACUGCUGCGGGCCUGCCUUCGUCCGGGUGCUUCUACGGUGCGGGCGGCCUUGACGACGGGUCAUCCGAGAGUGGCCGUCUGAGGCUGGGGUCCCUGGGCAGCAGCCUCGGGGGGAAUUAAGGGUUGGCUCUGAGCGGGCCCUUGCCCAGUGAUGGUGAUUUAACCACGUGAAGUGGCCCUCCCGAGGCUGUCUCUGUUGGCUCCGGGAGCGUGUGAGAGCCACUGUCUUAGGACCUGCUGCAGACUUGUCUAGGACUCCUGCAUGAGGACAAGUUCACAGAUGCUCCCCCAGUGGAGGCCCAGGAUCCCAGGGAGAGGGCGAGAGCCCUGAGCUGCUGAACAAAUCCUUUGGUUGAGAUGAAGGAUCUGUUUUCCACGCACCCGACUUGCUCACUCACUGAGGGCAGAAUUGGCCGAGGGUCCGCACGUCCAGCUGCUGUCUUUGACCUCUGCCUGUCCCGGGAAGUAGGCAGAACGCAGCGAGUGGCCGUGGCGUUCAGCUCCUCUCGCUGAGUUUCUACGGAGAGGACCUCAGAAUAAGGAGGAAAGGCAGGUACGUCAUUUGGAGAAAGGACACGGUCACACCGGAGACGCAGUGAGCCUACCCAGUUAGACGGGUAAGUGGGACAGCAGAGCACAUGCACAGCGAGUAAAAGUACCUCCCGGGCCUGGCCAGUAGGAAGGGCUGGACAAGGUGCUGGAGACAGCGCGGAAGUGGACACCAUCUUCUGAGAAACGUGUCCUCCCUCAAGCCGGGUGAGCCGUGUAGACCAGAUGUGACCAUCACGUGUGGACCAGACGUGACCUUCACCGUGUGGACCAGACAUAACCAUCACUAGCUGACUCUCCCCUUCACACUUGGAUCUAGGAUAGCUGGCACCCGCUUGAAAAGUACAAGGAAGCUACUAGAAAGAGUAGAACUCUUCGCACUUCCAUUUGGAACAUUUUUCAGAACAUUUGGAGAAUACAGAGAAGCAUCAAGAACAAAAUCAAGGCCAUGCGAAAGGGGGUUAUCCAACGGAGACUGCAGUGUGGAAGGGACCUUUCGGAGCAGCAGAACGGGCAGUGUGGAGGGUCCAGCUGGCCCCUCUGUCCUCCAGGCCCCUCAGCGGACCUCGCUCUCUGACCUCCCUUCUACCCCAUGGGGGUUGUUCUGCGGCAUCACCUCUGUUGCUUCUCCACAGUCAAGGACGGAAGGAAAGUUCUGUCCUUUCUCGGUCCCGCGAGUGCUGCUCACUCCUGUGCUCGGCAGGUCCGUCCAGCCCACAGACUCGGGAAUCUUUCUGGGGCACUACUAACCGUACCCGUUGUGAUGGCCACUUAAAAAUCCCCACAAAAGCGUCCUUAAUUUCAGAAAACGUCCUGUAAGUUCUCAGUUCUAAGAUAGUUUUGUAAGAGGAAGGCGCAAUGGAAAUGAUGGAAAUGUUCUAAUCCUACUUUUUAAAGCUGUGGAAUCAAAAGAAUGUCUUCUGCACAGCCCUUUAAAUCCUCCAGAAGGCCCUAUGCCAGAUUUUCCUGAGCGGCCCAUUUUAAUCGUGGACCGAUCGAGAUUUUUAAUGAGUUUAUCUGGAAAUUGCCGGGGCAGCUUCCACAGAUUUCCCAGCAGCGCUCCUGCCAGAGGUGAUGUGGAUUUACUGUAACUGUUGUGCUUUGUGGAAUAAGGUGUUUCACGUGAAAGGAGGUGAGUUAGAAUCUCUUGCUUCGUUUCCGGCCUGGUUUCUUGCUUCGUAUUCCUCAAAAUGAAGCCGUCAGUCUCAAUAGGAUGCAGCUCUACCUUGACUCCAGAAAAGCUCUGCUCUAAGUACUUCUGAAGUUCUGGAAAUCCUGGAUCCUGCCUUUAUCACCACCGUUCUUAAAUUGCAUGGUGAUGUCCUUGAUGUAAGUCAUUCGUUGGGUUCUUUCAAUCUGGACCUCGUGGCCUUCAAUUUGGGGGACUUUUCUGGUGUUAUUUCUUUCAUUAUUUCCUCCUCCAUUUUUUUGAUUCUUAAAAUGCUGCCCUUUAGAGAAAGAGAAAAUAGUGGCGUUUCCCAAAAGCAUCGCAUCACACACCCCCACGUCCCGUCUUUCACCACCCCACGGGCGCAUGCACACACGAGCACACGCACACAUGUGCACACAUACACGGGCAUGUUUGCGUGCCUACCCCGUUGCUGUUUUUCCCUUGUACGGAGCUCCGUUACCUGACUCCUAGUUAAACUGACUUAAAAUUGUGCUGCAUCUGGACACAGACUGUGGAGGAAUGUCGCAGGCGGGCACCCGGGCCCUGAUGCCCUUCACGGCGUGAGGUGCCCGAGCGAGAACGAGGAGAGCGGGGGAGGAGGGUCUGCCACCACUCCCACCGUUCCUCGGGUGUGAGCUGGGGAGUCCGGCUGGACCUGGGGGUUCGGGCUGUUGUGGGAAGGACAAGGGUUAAGGCCGGGACGAGCUCGUUUAAUCCCCAGUCCAGACCCUCACCCCCUCCUGUCUGUUAGACGGGAUCACGGAAAACACAACGUUAGCGGCUCGCUCAAGGUCACCCCGGGAAGUGAUGGAGCCGGCGUCCGAGCCCAGGUGCGGUGGGCAGGGAGUCGGGUCACCUCUGAUGGGGCUACAGGUGCAGGUGUCGCGGUCAGAGGCAGGGGACCAAGAAGUGUCCGCUUCCCCCAGGGGUGAAGGUGAAGGAGGCAGAGCGAGGGCGGAAUGGCGUGGUGCGGAUUGACACUCCCUAGCACCCACCGGAGACCUAAGUGGAGGGGCGGGUCACGGCUCGUCAGCCUGUCCCUUGAGCGGCCGCAUGUCCUGGGAAAGCCACCUGCCCUGGAUCUGUUGCCUCAUCUACAGCGGGAGGAGGGGGGGCCAGAACAUCUCCACGGCUCUUGGCGACUCUGAAGUUCUGUAAUUGGGGUGCUCGCUGUCUGCGGGACCUCGUUGUGACCUGUCCACUGAAGUUAUUUUCUGUGAAAAAGAGCAGACUUCUGUUGUAGGAGAGACAACACUGUCACGGGCCAAGCCGUGUGAGUUCCAGGGAUGUUUCCACUUCGCUUUCACGGACACACCAGUGUGAUGUCAGAUUUCAACGUUCGUCACGCCGCCGGCCCCCCCUCCCUCCCCCUGCACUCAGUCCAUCACCACGUCCUGUGAGCCCUACCGCCCUCUGCCCCAAAUACCCGCAAAGUGCCUGUGUCUGUCUGCCCUGAGCCCAGCCCUUCGCGGGCCCCGCACCCCUAACUCCUCCAGGCCGCACAGGGCCGGGCAGCCGCGGGGAGCGCCUCUGAGCAGGGUGGCUUCCGGAGGCUCCCGGCUCUCCUUGCUCCCUUGUCCCUGCUCAGUCUCGCUUCUGCUCCGUCUCCCCCCACAGAAGGAAAGCGGCUGGGUGGCAGGGUCCUGCCUGCUUGCUCGCUGAUGCAGCCCAGCGUCUGGAGCCCUGCGGGCGCCAGGAGGCACUCGGUAAAUGUGUGCAGGGGUGAAUGAGCGAACAGAGCACAGCUGGCCAGGGGAGGGCACAGGUUCCCAGCGAGAGCGGGAGCCGGGCUCUCUCCCGACCCCCGCCUCUCUGACGGCUCUGAGCUGAUUGGUUCUAAAUUGUGUAUGAUCCGCCCAUCAGUCGAUGCUGCUAACAGCCAAAGGAAGUGACAGGUGUAUUUUCUCCUUCAUCUCUGUCUAGAGUUCCUAGGGGCCGGUGAGCAUCCCUGUAACGAAGGCCCCUCUGUCCUGUGUCCUGUGAUGAUGCAGCAUCACCAGGGGCCACCCGUGCAGAGGUCCCCCCGUUGUCCUGGCGUCCGUGUAUCAAACACACACGGGCCCACGGCCCUUCUGCCACUCCCGGACCCCCCACCAGCACAGGGACAGGGUCCAGUGGGAGGCAUAUCAUGUAGGGCGCAGGCAAAAUAGAACAGGCCACCGCAGGGUCUGGUGACGGGCACUGGCUGCACACGGGGUGGCUGAGUCUGAGGUUUUAGGGGGACGUGAGCCUCUACCUGAAUCUGUGGACACGGGGCAGAGUAUCCCCACGGCACACGUGUUAACAGCACUGCCACACACUGGCAGACCCGGAAGCCAGAGGAGCAGGCGUUUACUCUGAGCCCCCGGACGGAUGCCGCGCCCAGAACCUGGGGUCUUACAAAAGAAGGAAGAAACAGGCAAGUGCCAGGACCCUGCUGGGGAAGAUGCUGCAGGUCAGUGAAGUGAUCGUGGCGCACUGCCAGUUUCUGGUCCUCUCCGUGCCUGCGUAACCUUGCUUAGAGGAUAAGAGCAAAUAUACAGAUGCAUCUGGGACUGGGCAGGUGCCGAGGCGCGUGGGUGCCAGGACGUGUGACCUUUGUAGCGGCAGCAGAGAGCCAGGCAUUCCUCAGAAGUACGUCUGGAAGGUCAGCGCGUCCUAUAAAUUGGAGAGAGGCAAGUGGGUGAGGCUGGGGACCUUGGGUCACGGCUGGAGCCUAGUUCCUCCAGUGUGUUCCAGGCGGAGCAGAUACGGCCAGGGAACCCUGGCUGGACUGCUCUGCCCUUGGCUUGCCUUUGGGGGGUGGAUUUGGAGAGUUCUGGAGAACUGCCCCUCGCUGUGUCCCCUGUGUCCCCCUGCCCUUGUCGGGGGAUGCCCCGGAUGGAGCGCCUCCCACCACCCCUGCCAGCACCUCGGUGUCUGCCCCGGAGAGCUCUGGACACUCAGGGCUGGGUUAGCGUCAUGCAGACAACCCUUCUUUACUCUUGCUGCGUGAGUUGGUGGAAACAAGAAGGUGAGAUGAAGAGUGCAUUUGGACUCCAACAGGGUGGGAGGCACAACCGGCAGGCGGUCACGUCCCGUGCGGCCUGCACACAGGCUUCCUCGCAGGGCACGUUAGGGGCGAGGUCCCCACCUUCAUCGCACCAAUAGUUGGGAAUCCCUCCCCUGGUUACAAACAUACCUUGGUUUUACUUGAAAAAUAACAAAUGAUUUAACCAAGUGUCUCUCGCAUAGGAUGUUAUGAAGUGAUUUGGGAAGAAAUGAAAAUAUAUGGCUGUCUCUUCUAAAAGGGUCACCUGCUGACCCACAGAGGGUGAGAGAUUUUCACCUGUGCUUCUGAACUUUUCCUUUCUCUCCUGCUCUGUUUUGUGCUGCACGUGUCCACCCAUUUCCUCUGCGGCACCGGGCCUCCCGCUGAUUAUUAACGGGGACUGCAGGGAAACCGUUAGGGAAGGACACCUCUGAGGGAUCAUUACAUCUGCACAGAGUCUGACUUAAGGAGGGUGAGUGAUUCAUCCAUGUGGGCACUGUGCACAAAUAGGUUUUUUCUGGGUGUAACACUGGACCGUUGUCUUCAGACUCCAAGAGGAAACUGCUUGUGAUAUGUAGAUGAAAAUGGAGAACAGGCUUCUAACCAGGACAGCCUGAGAGCUCGUGACGAAUUUGACCCUGUGCACAAUAGAGCUCAUUCACACUUGAGGGCAAUUGAAAUGUCAAAUAAUUCUUAAAGCAUAAUGCGUGGCUUGUUGAUCCCUCCAGAAGUCUUCAUGCUCUUUGUACGGUGGAGAAGAUGGGCGAGGAGCAGGGUGGAGCGAGAAGAGACACUUGUCCAGAGGCUCCUGUCCCCAACCCCCCCCACCCCCCGUGUGUGCCCUGCUGCCCUGGGAGCAUGCCGGAGACACACGAGUGUUUCUGGACCAGCAGUGAAUAGAGGAAGCGGGGCCCAGCAUCUUCGCCGCUUAGAGAUGUUGUACCCAGUUUACCCGUGGGAGACAAUGAAGUUCGAAUGAAUUGCUAAUUAGUAUCUACAGCAGUGUUUUUGGUGAUCAGUACAUAAAAUACUCUUACAGACCGCUAAGGAAAAAGGCAGCCCAAUAACUCUGCUCCAAAAGAAAAGUAGAUUAAGAUCUGAACAAGUAUUCGCAAAAGAAAGAGUUCAAAAGGCCGGUGAACAAAUGGCAAAUACCCUGAUUCACGAACUGCUAAAGAAACGUGCAAAAACGGUGUUGUGUUCUGCACCUUGGCGGGCUCUACACACAGCAGGCUUCCCCUACACCGUAACACCCAGCUACCGAAGGUCUGGGAAGCGGCCUGCGUGUGCUCCUGGCGGGAACACGAGUGGGCGGCGCUGUUCAGACGGGCUUGGCUCCAGCCCCGUCACAUCUGUCCAUGUAGUCGACCCUGAGGGGGACGCGGGGGUGAGUACGCGGCGUCACCCCACCAGCAUGCGCUCCACGAGAUGAAGGCAGAAAUAACCCAAGUGUUGGGUGACAGGGACACGGCAGAGACUGCUGGCUGUUCUGGCUCCCCCCUUCCUCCCACAGUGAGAGGACUUGGCCACGUUCAUUUUUUCUUACUGGAUCCGUGUGCACCAAGUUGAAAUCAUCAGUAUCCUGGGUUCAUGAAAAAUCGCCACGGUUAGCCUGUGCGUGCGUGUUUUUUUAAGUUUGCCUCUUCGUAGCAACGAGGUAAGCGCCCGUGAGCACAAGGCACGGCGCGAAGGCCAGAUCCUCGCCAAUAACUGUGUUAGCCCACGUGCCCACUCGUCCUGGCUGAGGGGACCCUGGGCUCUUCUCUCCCUUGUGUGCAUCAUGUCAUGUUACAUGUGUGCGUAUAUUCCAGAAGGUAGAUUUCUAGUUGAUUUUUAACUUUGCAAAAUAGUGGCCUGUGGUGUGUCGUCUUUGAAACUUACUUUACAUGCUGUUGUAUGUUCCUGUAAUUUCUCCACUUUGACUGUUUGUGUUUUCUGCUUAUAUCAUAAUAUACUAAUCACGUUCCUCUCGAUGGCUAUGUGAAAUGUCUCCUGGUUUUUUCUCCCAGGAGCAGAGCCACUGUUCAAGAAUGAAUACGACAUUCCCAUGUACAUCUGCGGGUGCGCGUUUGCAGUUUCUCUCUGUUGUGUUUGUUCUCUGGGGCUGUCAUACGGGGACCUGUUCCCUCAGUCUGGGGGCCAGGAGUCCGAAGUCAAGGCAGGACUGAGCUCUAGGGGAAGGAUCCUUCCUUGUCUCUGUCAGCUUCUGGUGGUUCCUGGCGAUCGAUGAUCCCAUUUACGUGACAUGUUUGAGAUGACAUUAAAAAAAAUUUUUUUUAAUGUCUAUUUUUGAGAGACAGAGCGCGCAAGCAGGGGAGGGGAGAGAAAGAGAGGGAGACACAGAAUCUGAAGCAGGCCCCAAGCUCCGAGCUGUCAGCACAGAGCCCGAGACGACACGGGGCUCAAACCCACAAACCGUGCGAUCGUGACCUGAGCCAAAGUCGGACGGACGCUUCUCUCCAGCGCAGCCGUGAACAGAAACGCCACCUUAUUCACACAGAUCUUUAUUUCUGAUGUGCCUACGUGAUCCUACCUGGUUCUUUCCUGUCUGUUCUCCACCCGACGCCAGCGUACUGCGAGGCUGGAGCGCGGGGUGGGAACACCGCCAAGGAGGAAUCCCAGAGCAAGGUGUGCGUCGUUCCCGUGGUUCAGACCCAGACUCUCCUUGGCUGCCGCCCCCCCCCCCCCCCGCACGCUCCCCGUGUCCGUGGAGCACAGUCGGGGAACCUGCAGCCCCUGUAUGUGUCCGGGACUCCCCAGCCUGUCAGAGCCGAGAGGAGGCCCCUGUGGAGGGCGGGGCGGGGGGGGCGUGUCUCAGGCUUACUGGUCCCAGCCCGGUGGUGACUCAGGGACACGUGGGCUUCUAGGAUGGUGUGGAACCGGGACGUGUGCCUGCAGGCCACAGCUUGCUGAGAUGGGUGGGAACACACGUAUUGUCUGCUUUCUAUGGUGCAGACCUUGUGAGCGUCUCCCGCAGGUGAUCGCUUAGUUACCCUGACUGCAUGAAUCCAGACACCCGCCCUCGAUUUCCCACUGAACAAAGAGGGUCUCAGCGUGGCCACGCAGGCUGCCCGCUAGCACACAGACCUAGGAAGUGGCCGAGCCCGUGGCCACACACGCAGUGCGUCCUGAGCGCUGAGCCAGCGUUGGCCAGUCUCUCCCUGGCGCUGUUUCUGAAGCACAGAGCGGCCCCGGCGGCCCCUGAGUCAUCACGCCCCUGCCGCCUUCUUCAGCUGCCUUGUCUCCUGUCUGCAGUCGGUGCCUGGGCCUGCCCGCCCUGCCCCCUCUCGUCUUCCAUGUGAUUGCCGGGGCAGGGAAAUAAUGCAGCUUUCCUAGCGUGAGAAACCCGAGCGUUAGGCCAGCGGCUGCUAGACGCUCCGGGCCCCCUUUUGUUGUUGCUGGGGGAUUUUACUUCUAUUUCUGGGCUCGAAGGCCCAUGUCAGACGACCGUGCUCAGCAGAAGAACCGUGCUGUGUCUGUGUCAAGGCACAGUUUAUGCCAAGCUCUACUUGGUCAAGAGCCACCCCGAAGCAUAAGGGUGGCCACGGCCCCCUGACCUCUCUUUCCGUCAGCCGGGCAGGUGGGCCUGGGAUACAUCCCAUAAUGCUCCUCAGGAGGCCCCCAGAGGGUCCGUGGUGGCCGCAACUAGAGCAUACGUUGCACUGGCCUUCCUUCCCUCGUUCUGUUCCCUGGAGUCACACUCCCAAAUACAGUACCUGCACAUAAGCCUUUGUCACAGCCCUGCUUUGGGUCGAAGCAGGUGAAGGCCCCUCUGCUGCCAGCUUCUCAUCAUAUAGAAAGUGAGGGAGUGAGAAGGAGUUCCUUCGUGCUUCAUAGAUCGAGAGCAGUUCUGUCACUAUCCGUUUCGGGUCCUAAUUGAAAUUUCAACCACUAUGAAAUAUCCCGUGCCUCACCUAAUUUUCUGACUUUCUCCUUUUGCUCCGGGGAAAUCGUCAGUCACCCACCGGGUGCGGGCAUCUGGAGAGCUGAGAGCACGCGCCUCUGGCGGAGGGGGGAAAGGCCCAGGAAGUCAGCGGCGCGGCCAGCGUGGUACCACAGGGCCCGGUGCUAGAAAGCGGGCGUGGCUGCGCGGCAGAGGCUGGCCUCUACUGAAGGCCGCUGCGCUGCUGCAGGUACUCUGCACACGCCGUUUACAAUUCGUGACGACCUCGGAGGGAGGCACGGACACCCACCUUGUUCCACAGACAAGACACAAGGUCAGGGGGAUUCUUCAGCCCAUCGGCUCCCCCGGUGCCCAGGGCUGGCGAGUCCGGCUCCUGAGAUCAGCCUUGAUCAGGCUUGGGCCGUUGGUGUUCAUCGUCCUGGAAUGAUGGCAGUCGUCUCAUUUUAGACUGAAAUUGUCUUUGGAGGUUUUAUCUGUACUUCCAUUGCUACACGUGUGGCUCCACGCACGUGGUGUUCAUCACGCACUCGUCACGACGAGCUCAGACGGGCCUGGGAUUUUCUGCUACAGCUGUGCUGUUGGUUUCAGGUCUCAGCUGGGGUAAAAUGCAAACUGCGUUUCCUUCCUCUUGUGGCUAAAUGUCACACAAGCCCUGCCACUUCUGCAGUUUUUCAUGUAGCAAUUUCCUGUGUCUUAAAGGUGAGCUCCAAAAAUCAUUGAAUCAUAAAAGUGUCAGAUUUAGAGAGAACAUGAGCCAUCGCUUACUUUAGGUUAAGAAACUGAGCCUCCGAGAAGUUAAGAGACCUAACAUCGUGCAUGAUGGUUCGCCGUCAGAACUUGCCUCCUGCCUUCUCUCCAUUCUCUUUCUGUGGUGUCCUUAUUCAGAAUAUCUCUUGGAGAGAUCUGGAAUGCAACAGAAAGUUACAUGGCGUUUGCUGCACAUCAUUUCAAGCUAAAACUCACCUUUCUUUGGUAGGGGCGCCUGGGUGGCUUGGUCGAUUGAUUGAGCGUCUGACUCUUGAUUUCAGCUCAGGUCAUGAUCUCCAGGUUUGUGGGUUUGAGCCCCACAUCGGGCACAUAGCCUGCUUGGCAUUCUGUCUCUCUGCCCUCCCCUGUUUGAUCUCCCUCCCUCUUUCUCAAAAUAAAUAAACAUUAAAAAUUUUUUUUUCCAAAAAGAAAGAAAAAACCAACUCACGUUCGGUAUAGGCAUCAUGUCUAAAACGAUUCUACUACGAAGACCUACCUCUGUGAGAGCAGCUGUUGUGUGAAGGUAUUGUCAUGGAGUGAAUGUUUGUGUCACCCUGCCCUCCCCAAUUUAUGUGUGGAAACCCAGCCCCCAGGGUGAUGGUGUUAGGAGCUGGGGCCUUUGGGGGUGAUUAGGUCAUGAAGGUGGAACCCUCAUGAAUGGCAUCAGUGCUUUAGAAAAGAGACCCCAGAGAGCUCCCUGGCCCCUUCCACCACGAGGGGACACAGCGAGAAGACCGCGUUUGCGCCUCAGAGGAGAGCUCUCAUCAGAACCCGAUCAUGCCGGCUCCUUGAUCUUGGACUUCCAGCCUCCAGAAUGGUGAGCAAUCAGUUUCUGUGGUGUAUAAGCCACUCGGACUGUGCUACUUUAUUAUAGGAGUCUGAAGAGACUAAAACAGGUAUCAAACAUUGUGAAACAAAUUUAAAUCUGCAUGUCGGUGCAUCCCCAAGCCACGUCGUAUGGAACAGACGUUGUGUAUGUUACGCCUCAGGCACCAUGGGUCAGAAGAGUCCCCUGGUUUUGAAACAGAUGUCUGAGCAGGGCUGCAACCUGUGGGAAGUGAGCCUCCAUGGACACUAUUCCGGCUAUUUUGCUUUAAUUAUAGGCACGCAGAAAUGUAUCUGUUAGUGCCGUUUCCCCUUAAUCGGAAGAUUUAGGUAAUACUUCCCCAAAUGUUGUACAUAUACCACAGAUGGCAGAGGAGAUGAUUUUAAGUGACAGCCCAACAAAUAUGUUUGAGUGAAGCAUCUGUGCGUUUCUUUCAUUUAUAUUAAAAUAUAUUGCAAAACGUAUUUGAUAAAGAACUGGUACCCAAAAUAUACAAAGUUAACAUUCAACCACAGGCAAACAAUCCAAAUUAAAAAAUGGGCAAAGACCCGAACAAAUAGGUCAUCAGAGAAGACGUACAGAUGGGAAGUAAGCUCAUGGAAAGAUGCCGUAUGUCGUGUGUCGUCAGGGAAAUGCAAAUUGAAAAGAGGGAGACACCACCACGCGCCCGGUAGAAAGGCCCUAGUCUGGAGCUCUCGCGACCCCACGUGCUGGCGGGUGCGGAGCCCAGGAGCGCGCGCUCAGCGCCCACUGCGGGCGGCCACUGCCCACGACGGUUUGGCGGAACACGCCUCCCAUACAUACGACCCAGCAGUCGUGCUCUUUCGUGUUUACCCAAAGGUUUUGAAGAUAAUGUCCACGAAAAAUCCCACACUCAGGUGUUCACAGCAGGUUUAUUCGUAAUCGCCAAAACCUGGAAGUGAUCGGUGUCCUUCGCAGGUGAUGGAUAAAUAAACCGUGGGCCCUGCAGACAACGGGAUGUCGUUCGGCACUAACAAGAAGUGAGCUCUCAAGCCACGGCAAUCCAUGGAGGAAGCUGAGAUGCGUAUCACUAAGUGAAAGAAGGCGGUCGGGAAAGGCCACGUGCUGUGACUCCUGGAAGAGGCAGAUCUAUGGAGACAGUAAAUGACGAUGUGUGGCCGCCAGGCGAUCCAGGGUGGGGAAGGCGGAGCGGCGCAUGGGUGAGGCACAGAGAAAUUUGAGGGCGUUGACACCGUUCUCUACCCCGUAAUGGUGGGUACAUGACAUGCGUUCGUCCAAACCCGCAGAAUGAGUGUCCAAGACCAAGAGUGAGCCUUAAUGUAAGGUGUGCAAUGUAUCGAUAUUGGUUCCUUCACUGUCACAGACGUACCAACUAAUGCAAGAUGCUGUUAGCAGGAGAGACCUGUGAUGACGGGAGGGUGUACCUGAGCUCUGUACCAGCUGCUCAACUUUUCUGUAAAUCUAAAGCUGUAGAAAGAAUCUAUUUAUUAAAAAAAACCUUCCAA